GUCGAACGGUGAAGCCCCGCUUGCGGGGUGGAUCAGUGGCGAACGGGUGAGUAACACGUGAGCAACCUGCCCCUGACUCUGGGAUAAGCGCUGGAAACGGCGUCUAAUACUGGAUACGAGACGUGAUCGCAUGGUCAACGUUUGGAAAGAUUUUUCGGUUGGGGAUGGGCUCGCGGCCUAUCAGCUUGUUGGUGAGGUAAUGGCUCACCAAGGCGUCGACGGGUAGCCGGCCUGAGAGGGUGACCGGCCACACUGGGACUGAGACACGGCCCAGACUCCUACGGGAGGCAGCAGUGGGGAAUAUUGCACAAUGGGCGCAAGCCUGAUGCAGCAACGCCGCGUGAGGGAUGACGGCCUUCGGGUUGUAAACCUCUUUUAGCAGGGAAGAAGCGAGAGUGACGGUACCUGCAGAAAAAGCACCGGCUAACUACGUGCCAGCAGCCGCGGUAAUACGUAGGGUGCAAGCGUUAUCCGGAAUUAUUGGGCGUAAAGAGCUCGUAGGCGGUUUGUCGCGUCUGCUGUGAAAUCUGGGGGCUCAACCCCCAGCCUGCAGUGGGUACGGGCAGACUAGAGUGCGGUAGGGGAGAUUGGAAUUCCUGGUGUAGCGGUGGAAUGCGCAGAUAUCAGGAGGAACACCGAUGGCGAAGGCAGAUCUCUGGGCCGUAACUGACGCUGAGGAGCGAAAGGGUGGGGAGCAAACAGGCUUAGAUACCCUGGUAGUCCACCCCGUAAACGUUGGGAACUAGUUGUGGGGUCCAUUCCACGGAUUCCGUGACGCAGCUAACGCAUUAAGUUCCCCGCCUGGGGAGUACGGCCGCAAGGU
rnacentral:rRNA from 1 species